UCAACCAUCAAGCUUUGGCUUGCCGUUGGACCCUGCGUAUGCUGGUAGCCGGCAAUAGCAGGUCUUCAAGGUAGUGGCGGUGUUGUGGCGGACCCCGGAUACAACGAGCUCUGUAUAGCACGUAUCAAGGUGGCCCCCAGUCCAGCCUCACUGGAAUCUCAUAUCUAAA
rnacentral:misc_RNA from 1 species